rnacentral:ncRNA from 1 species
CCUGUUCGGCUCGACGCCGCCACAGGACGGGAUGUGAUCCCUGGUUGGGAUUGAACCACGAA